rnacentral:rRNA from 1 species
AAAAAAGGUAAGCUACUAAGAGCGAAUGGUGGAUGCCUUGACUGGUAAAGGCGAUGAAGGACGUACUAGACUGCGAUAAGCUACGGGGAGCUGUCAAGAAGCUUUGAUCCGUAGAUUUCCGAAUGGGGCAACCCAAUGUAUAGAGAUAUACAUUACCUAUAUAGGAGCGAACGAGGGGAAUUGAAACAUCUUAGUACCCUCAGGAAAAGAAAUCAAUAGAGAUUGCGUCAGUAGCGGCGAGCGAAAGCGCAAGAGGGCAAACCCAGUGCUUGCACUGGGGGUUGUAGGACUGCAAUGUGCAAGAGGUAAGUUUAGCAGAACAUUCUGGAAAGUAUAACCAUAGAGGGUGAUAGUCCCGUAUGCGAAAAACAAACCUUAGCUAGCAGUAUCCUGAGUAGGGCGGGACACGAGGAAUCCUGUCUGAAUCCGGGUCGACCACGAUCCAACCCUAAAUACUAAUACCAGAUCGAUAGUGCACAAGUACCGUGAGGGAAAGGUGAAAAGAACUGAGGUGAUCAGAGUGAAAUAGAACCUGAAACCAUUUGCUUACAAUCAUUCAGAGCCCUAUGUAGCAAUACAGGGUGAUGGACUGCCUUUUGCAUAAUGAGCCUGCGAGUUGUGGUGUCUGGCAAGGUUAAGCAAACGCGAAGCCGUAGCGAAAGCGAGUCUGAAUAGGGCGCUUAGUCAGAUGCUGCAGACCCGAAACGAAGUGAUCUAUCCAUGAGCAAGUUGAAGCUAGUGUAAGAACUAGUGGAGGACUGAACCCAUAGGCGUUGAAAAGCCCCGGGAUGACUUGUGGAUAGGGGUGAAAGGCCAAUCAAACUUCGUGAUAGCUGGUUCUCUCCGAAAUAUAUUUAGGUAUAGCGUUGUGUCGUAAUAUAAGGGGGUAGAGCACUGAAUGGGCUAGGGCAUACACCAAUGUACCAAACCCUAUCAAACUCCGAAUACCUU